AUGCCCUGGAAUACACUUGUGUCAGUGACAAAUGCUGCUUUGCUGUGCUACACCGAGUACAAGGUCGUGUCCAGUGAUUCAAGUUUGACACACCACACCACGGUGGAUGUGCCUUUCAUGACGCAUCUUCUCAGCAGCACUAGAAGAUACAUCCAAAGUCCUGUGAGCAAGGUCUGUGGUAUCUGUUUAUUAUGGCAGCCCAGUGAGACUAAGACAGGCCAUCAAAAGACGUGAACGUUUUGGACCUUCUCUUGGGCCCUAGUAAACAGAAAUCAGGCUACUUAUUAAACUAAACCACGUUCUGAACUGUUACUGCUACUGGAAACCAGUCCCGAUCCAGACCCCAAAAGAGGAUUCUUGGAUCUUGCACAAGAAAGAAAGGCUACUCCUCACAGUAAAAGAGCACUUGGUGGAAAUUUUGUUCUGAAGUGAAGGCUGAAACCCCAGAGAUCAAACACUGUACUCAAGUUUACAAAGCUGGACUCAGACCCUAACACUGGCUUUAAAAUUUGUCCUAAGUUAGACCAUAAUGCCUCUCUUUCCAGCUGGAUCUACAUGCCUCCACUCUGGCUUUUAACAAGGCUCUGAACUAUUGUCAGAACUUGGGAAUUUCUAACAUUGAAGGUAACACAUUGACACAAUUUCCUCGAUGUAAAAUUGUAUACACUUUAUCCAAGUCCCAUCUGAGCAUGUUAUGUCCUAUUUGUACCCUUACAAAAACUGAUUGGUGGCCAAAUUGAUUUGAGACUGAAAGUUGCCACUUAUGUUCUUAGAAAUACUUGCUUUAAUUCACCAGAAUCAGUUGCUCUGAUACAACUUCUUAUAGUCACCUAAGUCAACAUAGUAAGAAAAUAAACAUAUAAAUGCCCU
rnacentral:lncRNA from 1 species